UACGAGUGGCCCAAGCGUUAAUCGGAAUCACUGGGCUUAAAGGGUGCGCAGGCGGACCGGUAGGCACUUUGUGAAAGCCCACGGCUCAACCGUGGAAUUGCAGGGUGAACCACCGGUCUCGAGGCAGGUAGGGGUCAGCGGAACUAUGGGUGGAGCGGUGAAAUGCGUAGAUAUCCAUGGGAACGCCGAUGGCGAAGGCAGCUGACUGGGCCUGUCCUGACGCUCAGGCACGAAAGCGUGGGUAGCAAACGGG
rnacentral:rRNA from 1 species